GCUUGGCCGCGGGGCCGAGUCCGCGGGGCUGC
rnacentral:piRNA from 1 species